CAGUUCAGCGGUUGGACACUCGCUUCACAAGCGAUAGGUCCGUGGUUCAAACCCACUAGGG
rnacentral:tRNA from 1 species